ACGGGGACGGGGCGGGGCGCGGAUCGGCCGGGCACGGGGCGGGGCCGUGGCCGCCGGGACACGCCCCGGGGCGCUGCUGCUGCCCCAGGGGUCUCGCUUCCGUUUUUGGGCGGGAAUGGAGGCCUCGUGGCAGCUGUGCCAAAACGCCUGUGGGGCCUGGAGCUCCUCACCCUCCUGCUCUCUUCCCCCUCCUCCUCUCUCUUCCCCCGCCUAUCUCUCCUCUCUUCCCAGCCCUCCCCUCCUCCCAGCCCUCCCCUCUUCUCAGCUCUCCCCUCCACGCCCCUCACCCUUCCCUUUCCCUCCUCCUCGCUCUCCUCCUCUAUCUGGACCAUCGUCAUCGUCGGUCACAACUGUUACAGGAACUGAUUCUGUGGUGGGAAAGGAAUUAGAGAAGAGAAAGAGAGGCUCAGAGGCGGCAUCCAACAGCUGGGGUAGAAACCUGGAGGCAAAGGGUCUGUCUGCUUCCCGACAGCCACAGAUGCUCAAAGAAGGGGACCUUGUUCCCCCAUCCGGAGGAAAUCCUGAUUAUUCUGAGCCAUCUCGGUAAUACAGUUCCUCUCCCUACGAUUGGCUUAGGGGUGGACAUGUGAGCACAUUCUGGUCGAAAAGAUGAGAGGGGGCGAGCUGGGGGAAUUCUUGGAAAGGUUUCAUUGCUGAUAAAAAUGGACCAAGGAAGAGACGCUUCCUGAAUGUGUGCUGUUGGCUGAGGUGUGCACUGCAGAAAAGGCUGGAGCAGAGAGAUGCAGAGGACCCGGCUCUUCAUGUCCUGAGAACUGGCCACGUGCGGUGGCUCAUGCCUAUAAUCCCAGCACUUUGGGAGGCCGAGGCGGAAGUAUUGCUUGAGGCCAGUAGUUCAAGACCAACAUGACCAACAUAGUGAGACCCUGUCUCAAAAAAGAAGGAAAGGAAGAACCCCGAAGCUGUCCUAUCUCAGGACUUCCCCUUAUAUGGAAAUAAUAAAUAUCUUCAUUGUUAAACCUCUUGGGUGCUUUCCAGGACUUUCAGCCAAAAGCAACCUCAAUGGCGACAGAUCUAAACCCGGCUGGCAAGUCACCAGCCGCCACAGUGAACAGCUUUAUCGACGUUGUCCUUCAGGGAGUAUCCAUGGAGUGCCCUCGCUGGACGCGGACAGCUCGGGGCACUGCAGAUCACGAAAAGGUGCCGUGGCUCACACCUGUGAUCCCAGCACUUUGGGAGGCUGAGGCAGGCGGAUCACAAGGUCAGGAGAUCAAGACCAUCCUGGCUAAUACGAUGAAACUCCUUUUCUAUUAAAAAAAAAAAAGAGGUUUCUUUCCUGGAGGCGCACUCCAGGGGCUCAGACAAACACUAGAGCAAAUCCAGGAAUAAGCCAACAGAACAGCUUCAGAUAAUGUUCAAUGCUGGCAAGAAACAAAACCCAGCAGUUUGAGAGAGGGAGUGAGGGCGUGGCUUCUCAGGGAAGAUGACAUUUAGGGGAGAACGGGAUGAAGAGCCAACGUAGGAAGAUCCAGAGAGAGCAUUCCAGGUGGAGGGCGUGGCACGCACAAAGGCCCUGAGGUAGGAGGGAACUUUGUGCGCUGGAGGAACUGAACCGUGAAAUGUGAGAGCAUCACGAUUAUGGCAGCAGCUUUCAAGAAAGGGUCUAAAAGUAAACAAAAGGUCCACAGUCCAAAUUCCUCGCCUCCCUCCCUUUUUUUUGUCAUUGUUGUUUUUUUUUUUUGCCACCCAAGUAAUGUUUUUUAUUUUUAUUUUUAUUUUUUUAAAGAAAAAGAGGGAAAAAGAAAUAUUACUUCAUUCCUAAAAUGGGUAUCAAUAAUGGCCGAUCAAUAUUUUGUGUGUUUAAAGUGGAUAAUGUAUAUUUUGUGUGUUUAAAAUGGAGAGCUCUAUUGAGUUUAUUUGUUCUGGAUCUGAGUUCAAGUCCUGGAUAUCGUUAUCAAUUUUCUGUCUCGUUGAAUCUAAAUCUCAUUACGGGUCUUAUGUAUCUGGGUGUUCAGAUCUCUUAUUAUUACAUUAAUCCUUUUACCCUUGUAUCCUUGUAGCUUUGAAAUCUAUUUUAUUAAUUGUGAGAAUUGCAACUCCUGCUUUUUAUUUAUUUAUUUUUGCUCUCCAUUUAAUUGGUUUUUUUUCCAACCCUUUGAGUCUUUGUAUAUCUUUAGAUAUACCGUUAGAUUUUGUCUGUAUCUUUUGAUUGGGGGAUUUAGUCGAUUUAAAUUUAGGAUUACUGCCAUUUGAUAUUAACUGGCUCUUUUAUCCUUUCGUUGAUGUAAAUUCUUCUUUAUGUUAAUGCUCUUUAGUUUUUGGUGUAUUUUUAGAAAGGCUCAUACUGGUUGUUCCUUUCUAUCUAUAAUGCUUCUUUUAGAAGUUCUUGUAAAGCAGGCCUGGUGGUAAUAAAAUCUCUGAGUACUUGCUUGUUCCUAAAAGAUUUUAUUUUUCCUUCAAUUGUAAAGCUUAAAUUGGCAGGAUAUGAAAUUCUGGGCUGAAAGUUCUGUUCUUUAAGUAUAUUGAAUAUUGGCCCCCACUCUCUUCUAGCUUGUAGGGUUUCCGUUGAGAGAUCUGCUGUAAGCCUAAUAGGCUUCCCUUUAUGGGUAACCUGAUCUUUCCCUCUGGCUGCCCUUAAUAUUUUCUCCUUCGUUUUGAUCCUGGUGAAUCUAACGAUCAUGUGCUUGAGGUUGGUCUUCUUGAGGAAUAUCUUUGUGGUGUUCUCUGUAUUGCCUGGGGUUGAAUAGUGUCCUGCUUUGCUAAAUUAGGAAAAUUUUCCUGGAUAAUAUCCUGAAGAAUAUUUUCCAGCUUGAAUUCAUUCUCUCCGUCACAUUCAGGUACACCAAUCAAACGUAUAUUAGGUCUUUUCACAUAGUCCCAUAUUUCUUGGAGACUUUGCUCAUUCCUUUUUAUCCUUUUUUCUCUAUUCUUGUCUUGUUGUUUUAUUUCAUUAAAUUGGUCUUCGACCUCUGAUAUCCUUUCUUCUGCUUGAUCCAUUCGGCUAUUCAAGCUUGUACAUAUUUCACUAAGUUCUCGUGUUGUAUUUUUCAACUCCAUAAGUUCAUUUGUAUUCCUCUCUAUAUUGUCUAUUCUUUUCAUCAUUUCAUCGAACCUUUUUUCAAAGUUCUUAGUUUCUUUACAUUGGGUUAGAACAAGUUCCUUUAACUCCCAGAAGUUUCUCAUCGUCCACCUUUUAAAGCCUACUUCAGAUAAUGGAACACAGUCCUUUUCCAUCAGGGCUUGUUCCGUUACUGAUGAGUCCUCUUCCAUCAGGGCUUGUUCGGUUGCUGAUGAGUCCUUUUCCAUCAGGGCUUGUUCCGCUGCUGAUGAGUCCUUUUCCAUCAGGGCUUGUUCCGUUGCUGAUGAAUCCUUUUCCAUCAGGGCUUGUUCUGUUGCUGAUGGGUUCUGAUUUUGAGUAUACUCGGCCUUCUUAGGCUGUUUUUUCCCUUCAUUGUAGAUGAACCGCCUUUCUAAUUAGGUUUCUGAGUCGACGUCCGAUUUAUUGAUUCCCAGUGCUGGGAUCCGAGCAACCCACUGUGGCGGCCUAAAUAGCAGCGAUAAGACUGAUGGUGCUCUUCUGCCCGGGAAUCUCUGGUCCGGCUUCCCUCUUGAGUCCGCUACAAGCGGCUCUGACUUCCCGGAGCUCCAAACUCCGGUCAGUAGGGGAAGCAGUCCCAUUUGCUCUGCAUGAAGAGCUGCUGCGCCGAGACGCCGGCAAAACCGCUGCGGCGGCCACAAGAGUCGCGCUGGCGACCCGUGGGGCUCCUCUACUGGGAAUCGGCUGAUCCGUGAGUGACGAAAAUUCAUCUAAAAGUGUGGCGUCGUCUUGUUCUCUGAACUUUCACUGGGAGCUACAAUCCUGAGCUGUUAGUGAUCAGCCAUCUUGGAUCGGUCCGUUCUGUUUUUUUUUUUUUUUGAGACAGAGUCUCGCCCCGUGGCCCAACGUGGAGUGCAGUGGCAAGAUCUUGGUUCACUGCAACCUCUGCCUCCUGGGUUCAAGCAGUUUCCUGCCUCAGCCUCCCAGGUAGCUGGGACUACAGGCGCCUGUCUCCACGCCUGGCUAAUUUUUGUAUUUUUAGUAGAGACAGGGUUUCACCAUCUUGGCCAGGCUGGUCUUGAACUUCUGACCUUAUGAUCCUCCUGCCUCGGCCUCCCAAAGUGCUGGGAUUCCAGGCGUGAGCCACCACACCCGGCCUCUGCCACUUUCUUCAGGUUUUUGUUCCCGGGCCCAGUGUCUAAGAGCUGCUUUGUUGGUAUCGAAGAUGAGUUUUCGAACUUCCCUUCCUAACUCAGGAGAACCGCCUCACCUCUCAGCACACGUGCGCCGGAAGCACACAGGCUUUUUAAGUGAAAGCCAAGUUUUCCAGCUUCAGCCUGACCCAGCGGCUCCGUGUGCGGCGAGUCCUCAUCUGUCUUCCAGUUUUCCUCGGGAGCAGCAUUUUCCUUCCUGCCCAGAAAACCCCAGCUCUUGCCACAGGCCCCUCCUCUCCAACACCCGCCCGCUCUGCCCAGGGCCCACUGAGGCCCAGGGAUGCCCUCCUGAGCAUCCGAGAGGCCAGCUGCCAUGCAGCCAGGCAGGAGGCGCCUUCCAGAAACCAGUGUGGGCACCAAGAACGCUGGAGAUCAGGAGAUGCCCUUGCCCUUCAACGCAGACCUGCAAAGCUGCCAGUUUCUCUCCUGAGGGGAACUGUUCACAGGCUGCAGCCAUGACUGGCACCCAUGGAGAAGCAGGUUCCAAAAAUAUUCUUUGGGCCAGGCACAGUAGCUCAUGCCUGUAACCCCAACGCUUCGGAAGGCCGAGGCGGGAGGAUUGCUUGAGCUCAGGAGUUCAAGACCAGCUUGGGCAACCUGGCGAAAUCCUGUCUCUACAGACAAAAAUUAGCUGGGUAUGGCACCUAUCGUGCCCGUAGUCCCAGCUGCUCCGGAGGCUGAGGUGGGAGGAUUGCUUGAGCCCAGGAAGUUAAGGCUGCAAUGUGUCAUGAUCACACCACUGUAGGCCAGCCUGUGUAGCAGAGCGAAACUCUAUCUCAAACAAGAAAAAAAAGGGCCGGGUAUGGUAGUUCAUGCCUGUAAUCCCAGCAUAUUGGGAGGCCAAGGCAGCUGGAUCACCUUAGGUCAGGAGUUGGAGACUAGCCUGGCCGACAUGGUGAAACCCCGUCUCUAAUUAAAAUAGAAAAAUUAGCCAGGCAUGAUGCUGGUCACCUGUAAUCCCAGCUACUUCGGAGGCUGAGGCAAGAGAAUUCCUUGAACCCAGUGAGCCAAGAUUGCGCCACUGCAUUCCAGCCCGAGAGACAGAGUGAGACUCAGCCUCAGAAAAAAAAAGAGAGAGAGAGAAGAAAAAAACAAAAACAUUCUUUGGAAAACAAUGGGCAGCGAUACCUUUCUGGGCACAUCUGGUGGUGGCUGAGGUUCCUGUUUGGGCAGGGAUGGGGCAGUGCCAAAGAGGACCACUGGAUACACACCCAUGGGGUCAUUUGUCAGACUUCUUUUCAGAGACAAGGUCUUACUGUGUCACCCAGGCUAGAGCACAGCAGUGUGAUCAUAGCUCACUGCAGCCUCAAAUUCCUGGACUCAAGUGACCCUCCCUCAGCCUCCCUAGGAGCUGAGACAGCAGGCACACACGGCCACAGCCGGCUCUGUCAGACCGUGCUGACUGUUUCCUAUGAGCACGGGGGCACAUGCAUCACCUUCUCAUAAAGAUCAUACACCAGUGGGACAAAGAUAUUCCUCUCACACCAAUGAGUCUGCAGUGACACCUGAGAAAAACGCUCUCAGGGAGAUGAAUCCAUCUCGGCAAGGGCGCAUUACAGGGGCCACAGAGUGGACCUUUUUCAAAGCAAGAGGGAUUGUGUUACUCCCUGCUUCAACCCUCCCUGGGUUUCCUGUUGCAAGGCACAAACUCCAGGUCCUCCCCUGGGCUGCCCUCCUCCACCUCCCUCUCGGCUCCCUGGGAUGCAGCCACCCUGGCUUCCUUCAGACCUUCCCAUGCAGUCAGCCCGUGCCCACCGCAGGACCUCGGCACAGGCUCUGCUCCUUGCUUCAAAUGCUCUUCUUGCUUAAAAAGGUCCCAUAGGUCCAGGCGCAGUGGCUCACACCUAUAAUCCCAGCAUUUUGGGAGGCCAAGGCGGGCAGAUCAUGAGGUCAAGAGAUCAAGACCAUCCUGGCCAACAUGGUGAAACCCCGUCUCUACAAAAAAUACAAAAUUUAGCUGGGCAUGGUGGGGCGUGCCUGUAAUCCCAGCUACUUGGAAGCUAAGACAGGAGAAUUGCUUGAACCCAAGAGGUGGAGGUUGCAGUGAGCUGAGAUCGCACCACUGCACUCCAGCCUGGUGACAGAGUGAGACUCCGUCUAAAAAAAAUUGGGGGGCCUCCAUGGAAGCUUUUUUGAGGUACAGCUCCAGCGUCAUCUCCUCAAAGAGGCCUUCCUCAACCAGCCUAUCUGAAGUGACACUCUUCCCUGGAGCAGUGGCUCACACCUGUGAUCCCAGCAUUUUGCAAGGCCGAGGCAGAUGGAUCACAUGAGAUCAAGACCAUCCUGGCCAACAUGGUAAAACCCAUCUCUACUAAAAACACAAAAAUUAGCCAGGUGUGGUGUGCACCUGUAAUCCCAGCUACUGGGGAGGCUGAGGCAGGAGAUCACUUGAACCCAGGAGGCAGAGGUUGCAAUGAGCCGAUAUGGCACCACUGCACUCCAGCCUGGGUGACAAAGCGGGACUCUGUCUCAAAAAAAAAAAAUUAACUGGGCAUGGUAGGUGUGUCUGUAGUCCCAGCUGCUCUAGAGGCUGAGGUGGGAGGAUUGCUUGAGUCUGGGAGUUCAAGGCUGCAGUGAGCCAUGAUUGUGCCACUGCACUCCAGCCUGGCCAAUAGAGUGAGACCCUGUCUCCAGUUAAUUAAGGAAUUAAUUAAAUAAUGCUCUUUUUGUCGUCGUCCUGUUUUAUUUUCGUCACACCCUGACAUUGUCUGUCCUGACUGUUCACCACUUGUUUUCUCCAUGUUUCUGUAGAGAAACACCACAAGGGCAAAACCCUUACCUGGCCUCACAGCUGAACCUCCAGCACCGCACAGGGCCCAGCGCACACAGGAGCAUGAUGGUUUGUGGAAUGAAUGAAUGAAUGAAUGAGGGGCCUAAUCCCACUGAAGGAAGUCAGGAAAGGCUUACUGAAGGAGUGAUAUCUGAAGUGGCAUUGAUGGGUGAGAAGGAGUUGGGCUGUGUACCCCCACUUCAGCCAGUGACUAGAAUGCCCUGGGGGCCUGCCCUUGGCGGUCUCCCAGGGUCUUCGUCGGGCACAGGGGUUGGUGUAUGUUGAAACUCCCUGUGUGACCCUCGUGAGCACACCAGGCUGAGAGCCGGUCACCGUGGCCUUGGUUCUCCUCCAGGUGUUCUCCAGAGCACCAGCCACCUGGAAAUGUGAUAGAAAUGCAGGUUCUCUGGCCGGGAGUGAUGGCUUGCACCUGUAAUCCCAGCACUUUGGGAGGCCAAGUCUGGAGAAUAACUCAAGCCCAGGAGUUUGAGACCAACCUGGACAACAAUAGUGAGAUCCCAUCUCUACAAAAACCUUUUUUUAAUUAGCCAGGCAUGGUGGCAAGUGCCUACAGCCACUGAAGUGGGAGGAUACCUUGAUCCUGAGAGGUCAAGGCUGCAGUGAGCCAUGUGCACACCACUGCCUUCCAGCUUGAGCAACAGAGCAAGAGCCUGUCUCAAAAAAAAAAA